UAUUAUUUUAAUUGUAAAAUUUGGACUUGGGUAGUACUAGAUAAGUGCUUGAAACUCAAAGGAAUUGGCGGUGUUUUAGUCUUUUCAGAGGAAUCUGUCCCGUAAUUGAUAGUACACAUUAUAUUUUACUUGAUUUUGUAAGUCAAUUUGUAUACCGCCGUUAUAAGAUUAUCUUUUUAGAGCAUUAAUUUUCUUGAAAUUUUAAGAUAGUAUGUCAGGUCAAGGUGCAGUUUAUAAUUAAGAGAGAGAUGGAUUACAAUAAAAUAAUUUAUAAUGGAUACUUUUAUGAAAAUGGAGGUUGAAGGUGGAUUUGAAAGUAAUUUUGUUAAAUUAUGAUAAAAUGAUUUAAGCUCUAAAGCAUGCACAUAUCGCCCGUCGCUCUCGUUAUUAAGAUGAG
rnacentral:rRNA from 1 species